AUGAUACAAAAGUGUGGGUUUAUCUGCCACAAACACCCUGAUUACUACAGCUAAAACUAAAAGACAUGGAUAUGGAAAGACUUGAACAACUAAAAGAUGUGUGUGCGCUGGUUUAAGUUUCUGCAUAGUCAUUACAAAUGUGUUAUUCUGGGUGGUUUGUCAAGGGAAUCAGAAUUAGUAGUGACCAAACAUGAAUAUUCGUCUGGAGUAAUAACUGGAGACACCAUUCAGCUGUGCCAAGUCAUAGGUUCACAAUACGUUGAAUUAAGUGUCUGCCUAUUCAACUGCCAACUUCUUUCACAGCAAGUCAUGAAGCUAUAAUCAUCCACAUGGAGCAAAGUUAGCCAAUCUUUUGUCUGCCAGUGUUGAGAUCUCAUUGACAAAGCCAACACCGUAAACCUAUUCCAAGAUGUUGACAAAGUCAUGCUAAAUUCUUCUUCACAGUGUUACAUGCAGCAGACAUAGCCCCAUGGCAGUAGUCACUAAAUCAGACGUUUACAUUCUCAACCCCAAAAGCCUUUAAACGGGCUCACCCAACCUCCUCAAACCCAAGAAAACACAUUCACAGUGGAGAUGGUUAAGGAGAUCGAGUGGAGUCUGACAGUCAAAAGUCGUCAGACAAAGUCUCUGCAGCUGUCAGGAGUGUUUCUUUACUUGCAAGGCUGAGUAUGACAAUAUGGUCUAUAAUACAAUGAGUUAUACGCUGAUACUAUUAAAUUUAAAUCCUGCAGAUGAAUAAUAAAAGUAUCACAACAAU